UACGAAGGGGGGCUAGCGUUGCUCGGAAUCACUGGGCGUAAAGCGCACGUAGGCGGCUUCUUAAGUCAGGGGUGAAAUCCUGGAGCUCAACUCCAGAACUGCCUUUGAUACUGAGGAGCUUGAGUCCGGGAGAGGUGAGUGGAACUGCGAGUGUAGAGGUGAAAUUCGUAGAUAUUCGGAAGAACACCAGUGGCGAAGGCGACAUACUGGUCCAUUACUGACGCUGAGGCUCGAAAGCGUGGGGAGCAAACAGG
rnacentral:rRNA from 1 species